rnacentral:tRNA from 1 species
AUUAAACCUAAACCAAAGGCCUUCAAAGCCUUAAACAAGAGUUAAAUUCUCUUAGUUUCUG